UACGUAGGGUGCGAGCGUUUAAUCGGAAUUACUGGGCGUAAAGCGUGCGCAGGCGGUGAUGUAAGACCGAUGUGAAAUCCCCGGGCUUAACCUGGGAACUGCAUUGGUGACUGCAUUGCUCGAGUAUGGCAGAGGGGGGUGGAAUUCCGCGUGUAGCAGUGAAAUGCGUAGAUAUGCGGAGGAACACCGAUGGCGAAGGCAAUCCCCUGGGCCUGCACUGACGCUCAUGCACGAAAGCGUGGGGAGCAAACAGG
rnacentral:rRNA from 1 species